UGUUGUUAGUGUUUUUGUUGUUCCUUUCCUUCACUGAGCCGAGGGUCGAUUGGAAACAGCCUCUCUGCCCUUCUAUGUAGGGGUAAGGUCCGUCUACAUAUUACCCUCCCCAGACCUCACUUUGUGGGACUAUACUGGGUAAUUGUUGUUGUUGUUGUUGUUACACAUAGUAUAUACUAGAGCUUUCCUGCCUCAUAGCUGCACUCCAUAAAAU
rnacentral:lncRNA from 1 species